rnacentral:misc_RNA from 1 species
UCUCCGUAGGUGAACCUGCGGAGGGAUCAUUACCGAGUGAGGGUUCCGGCCCGACCUCCAACCCCCUGUCUUCCGACUCUGUUGCCUCGGGGGCGACCCGGCCCUCCUGGGCGUCGGGGCCCCCGGUGGUCCAUCUCAACCCUGCAUCUGUGCGUCUGAGUCGAAAUAUAAAUCAAUCAAAACUUUCAACAACGGAUCUCUUGGUUCUGGCAUCGAUGAAGAACGCAGC